rnacentral:rRNA from 1 species
GAUGAACGCUGGCGGCGUGCCUAAUACAUGCAAGUAGAACGCUGAAGGAAGGAGCUUGCUCUUUCCGGAUGAGUUGCGAACGGGUGAGUAACGCGUAGGUAACCUGCCUGGUAGCGGGGGAUAACUAUUGGAAACGAUAGCUAAUACCGCAUAACAGUAGAUGUUGCAUGAUAUCUACUUAAAAGGUGCAAUUGCACCACUACCAGAUGGACCUGCGUUGUAUUAGCUAGUUGGUGAGGUAACGGCUCACCAAGGCGACGAUACAUAGCCGACCUGAGAGGGUGAUCGGCCACACUGGGACUGAGACACGGCCCAGACUCCUACGGGAGGCAGCAGUAGGGAAUCUUCGGCAAUGGACGGAAGUCUGACCGAGCAACGCCGCGUGAGUGAAGAAGGUUUUCGGAUCGUAAAGCUCUGUUGUAAGAGAAGAACGAGUGUGAGAGUGGAAAGUUCACACUGUGACGGUAUCUUACCAGAAGGGGACGGCUAACUACGU